rnacentral:misc_RNA from 1 species
GGAGAAAGAAAGUGCUGAGAAGAGGAGAGAGAGACAACAGCAAGAACAAGAACUUGCUCAACACAUAGCUGAAGAGGAUGAUGAUGACUUUUGAAAAGUUUAUGAUAGCAUCAUUAUGAGAUGCACAAGGAUGAUGCCUAUUUAAGACUUCCCCGCGAUUUGAAAUUUGGAUGUUAAACUUUGUCCUUGGUUUAAACAAAUAUGUCUCAAUUUGCAAUUUCUUUUGGCCUUUUAGAUUCUGAUAAUAGGUUUCAUGUUUAAAUGUGUUGCUGUUUUAGUAAAAAAAACAUUACUGCCGGAUCCUGCCCCUCAUUUGUUUUUCUCCAGCUAGUUCUUGUUUGUAUCAUUCAC